rnacentral:lncRNA from 11 species
AUUCACUUUACUUUCCAUUAUUUGUGACUGGCCUAAAUCUCCCAUGUAAUACAGUUUAAAUCUGUGAAGAGGCUACCUCUGUCUCUUCGACCAAAAUGAAGUUGAGUUAAUUUUAAAACAAAGGCUCUACAGUCCAAUACAAAUAUUGACAAAAACAGUCUAUGAAGAGAAGUUAAGUGAAAGCCAAAGGAAUCAAGAUAGUGGCGGCAGCAGUUUCAGCCAUGUAUCUGUUGGCUGCAUUGGAAUGAGAACCAGAUACUGAAGUACCCAAGAAAAUCUAUAGAAACAUAGAUAUAUUUCUAUGUGCUCGGAUUCAUCUGUGCCAGGGGCGGUUCAACCACCAGGCCAACUAGGCAGUUGCCUGUGGCACCAUCUUGUUGGGGGCGCUAUCGAGGCAGCUCCUGCCUCCUGCGGCCUGCCUUCACAAGUGCAGCAUAUGCAGAACUCCACACAUUAGAUCCAGACACUGCAGAAGUGUGAGAGAUAAAUCCAUUUGAAAUGUGCUAUUAGAACAGAUACUACAUCAUGCUAAAGAUUGAU